CUACGGGGGGCUGCAGUUAAGAAUUUUCUGCAAUGCGCGAAAGCGUGACAGAGUGAAUCAGAGUGCUUUUCAAUCGAAAAGCUUUUGCUUAGUGUAAAAAACUAGGCGAAUAAGGACUGGGUAAGACGAGUGCCAGCCGCCGCGGUAAUACUCGCGGUCCAAGUCGCAGCCAUUUUUAUUAGGUCUAAAACAUCCGUAGCUUGCUUGAUAAGUUUUUUGUGAAAUCCCAUGUCUCAAGCAUGGGGUGUGCAGAAAGUACUAUUGAGCUAGAGACUGGAAGACGUGAGGAGUACAAUCGAGGUAGUGGUAAAAUAUUUUAAUCUUGGUUGGACUAACAAGAGCGAAGGCACCUCACGAGGACAGUUCUGACAGUAAGGGAUGAAGGCCAGGGGCGCAAAACGGAUUAGAUACCCGGGUAGUC
rnacentral:rRNA from 1 species